rnacentral:rRNA from 1 species
GGAGGAAAAGAAACUAACAAGGAUUCCCCUAGUAACGGCGAGUGAAGCGGGAAGAGCUCAAAUUUGAAAUCUGGUGGCCUCAGGUCAUCCGAGUUGUAAUCUAUAGAAGUGUUUUCCGUGCUGGCUCAUGUACAAGUCCCUUGGAACAGGGCGUCAUAGAGGGUGAGAAUCCCGUCCUUGACAUGAACUACCAGUGCUCUGUGAUACAUUUUCAACGAGUCGAGUUGUUUGGGAAUGCAGCUCAAAAUGGGUGGUAAAUUCCAUCUAAAGCUAAAUAUUGGCGAGAGACCGAUAGCGAACAAGUACCGUGAGGGAAAGAUGAAAAGCACUUUGGAAAGAGAGUUAAACAGUAUGUGAAAUUGUUGAAAGGGAAACGAUUGAAGUCAGUCGUGCUCUUUGGAUUCAGCCGGUUCUGCCGGUGUACUUCCUUUGAGUGGGGUCAACAUCAGUUUUGAUCGCUGGAUAAAGGCUGGAGGAACGUAGUACCCUCGGGUAAACUUAUAGCCUCCUGUCACAUACAGUGGUUGGGACUGAGGAACGCAGCACGCCUUUAUGGCCGGGAUUCGUCCACGUACGUGCUUAGGAUGUUGACAUAAUGGCUUUAAACGACCCGUCU